AGCGGCUACUACUUCCAAGGAAGGCAGCAGGCGCGCAAAUUACCCAAUCUCAAUUCGAGGAGGUAGUGACAAGAAAUACCAUUGGCGGACACUUUGUGUACGCUAUUUGGAAUGAGAACAAUUUAAACACCUUAACGAGGAACAAUUGGAGGGCAAGUCUGGUGCCAGCAGCCGCGGUAAUUCCAGCUCCAAUAGCGUAUAUUAAUUCUGUUGUGGUUAAAAAGCUCGUAGUCGGAUUUCGACGCGUGGGAGUCAAGGUCCGUCUAAAUGGCGUGGCCCGACCUGCCGUCUCUUUCUAGGUGACAGCCCCCUGGCCUUUGCGGGUUGGGGUGUGCAGUUCCUAGUCGUUUAUUAUGACAAACUCAGAGUGUUCAAAGCAGGCGUAAAGCCUUGAAUGCUACAGCAUGAGAUAAUGGAAGAUGACGAUGGUCUUAUUUUGUUGGUUUCUAAGGCUGCCGUAAUGAUUAAUAGGGCCAGUUGGGGUCACUCGUAUUGAACUGUCAGAGGUGAAAUUCUAUGAUUUAUUCAAGACGAACUACUGCGAAAGCAUGUGACAAGCAUGGUUUCAUUGAUCAAGAACGAAAGUUGGGGGAUCGAAGAUGAUCAGAUACCGUCGUAGUCUCAACCAUAAACUAUGUGGACCAAGGAUCCGAGGACGUUAAAUGGAUGACUCUCCGGGCACUUUGUGAGAAAUCAUAAGUAUUUGCAUUCCGGGGGGAGUAUGGUCGCAAGUCUGAAACUUAAAGGAAUUGACGGAAGGGCACCACCAGGAGUGGAACCUGCGGCUUAAUUUGACCCAACACGGGGAAACUUACCAGGUCCGGACACAGUUAGGAUUGACAGAUUGAGAGCUCUUUCUUGAUUCUGUGGGUGGUGGUGCAUGGCCGUUUUUAGUUGGUGGAGUGAUUUGUCUGGUUAAUUCCGUUAACGAACGAGACCUUAACCUAUUAAUUAGUUACGUGAACAUGGGCUUCGGUCCUGUCUGUUCACGGGCAACUUCUUAGAGGGACUCUCGGCAUCUCUAGCCGAUGGAAGUUUGAGGCAAAAACAGGUCUGUGAUGCCCUUAGAUGUCCUGGGCCGCACGCGCGUUACACUGACGAUUGCAACGAGUUCUCUCCUUCUCCGAUGGGAGCGGGUAAGCUUUUAAAAGAUCGUCGUGAUGGGGAUUGCUGCUUGCAAUUAUUCAGCAUGAACGAGGAAUUCCUAGUAAGCGCAGUUCAUCAAACUGCGUUGAUUACGUCCCUGCCCUUUGUACACACCGCCCGUCGCUAGUACCGAUUGAAUGGUCUGGUGAGAACUCAGGACGGCGGAGGUGCAGUUUGCUCGCAAGGGCAAGCGGCCACUGCCGGAACGUGUUCAAAUCAUGCCAUUUAGAGGAACUAGAAGUCGUAACAAGG
rnacentral:rRNA from 1 species